rnacentral:rRNA from 1 species
GAUAUAGUGGCAGACGGGUGAGUAACGCGUGGGAACGUACCUUUCACUACGGAAUAGCUCUUGGAAACGAGUGGUAAUACCGUAUACGCCCUUCGGGGGAAAGAUUUAUCGGUGAAAGAUCGGCCCGCGUUAGAUUAGCUAGUUGGUAGGGUAAUGGCCUACCAAGGCGACGAUCUAUAGCUGGUCUGAGAGGAUGAUCAGCCACACUGGGACUGAGACACGGCCCAGACUCCUACGGGAGGCAGCAGUGGGGAAUCUUGCACAAUGGGCGAAAGCCUGAUGCAGCCAUGCCGCGUGAAUGAUGAAGGCCUUAGGGUUGUAAAAUUCUUUCGCUAGGGAUGAUAAUGACAGUACCUAGUAAAGAAGCCCCGGCUAACUUCGUGCCAGCAGCCGCGGUAAUACGAAGGGGGCUAGCGUUGUUCGGAAUUACUGGGCGUAAAGCGCACGUAGGCGGACUUUUAAGUCAGAUGUGAAAUCCCGGGGCUCAACCUCGGAACUGCAUUUGAAACUGGAAGUCUAGAGACCAGGAGAGGUUAGCGGAAUACCGAGU